rnacentral:rRNA from 1 species
GUGGGGAAUCUUGCGCAAUGGGCGAAAGCCUGACGCAGCCAUGCCGCGUGAAUGAUGAAGGUCUUAGGAUUGUAAAAUUCUUUCACCGGGGACGAUAAUGACGGUACCCGGAGAAGAAGCCCCGGCUAACUUCGUGCCAGCAGCCGCGGUAAUACGAAGGGGGCUAGCGUUGCUCGGAAUUACUGGGCGUAAAGGGAGCGUAGGCGGACAUUUAAGUCAGGGGUGAAAUCCCGGGGCUCAACCUCGGAAUUGCCUUUGAUACUGGGUGUCUUGAGUGUGAGAGAGGUAUGUGGAACUCCGAGUGUAGAGGUGAAAUUCGUAGAUAUUCGGAAGAACACCAGUGGCGAAGGCGACAUACUGGCUCAUUACUGACGCUGAGGCUCGAAAGCGUGGGGAGCAAACAGGAUUAGAUACCCGAGUAGUCC